GGCACAUCCAUGAAAGUUAUCUUAUUGUUUAGCAAGAGAUGGAUUACUUUUGUGGUCCCUAAGUGACAGAGAUUGGGCUAUGUAUUUUUUUGUUUUGAGUUAGGGUUUAAAAAUAAAGAAAUAUAAGUGGGAGACCAAGGCAGCAAGUCAAUGAUGCUUAGAUGGACCAUAAAUGGUAGCUGGUAAAACAUGGCCACUCAUUUUUGUUGAAUGUUGGAUGCAGUUAAUUAUUGGUGCCUCACUCUGGCUAUCUGUGUCUCUCAAGAAAGCUGACUUCAUCUGCCGGUUUCUUCUCUAGAUCCAGCUCAGACCUUCCGACUAUGCUUUUCGGGUAUCACGCAUCCUGGUGGGAGAUCCAUGUAGACUUCUUCAGAUAAUUCACCAUGCAGAAAGGCAUUCUUCACAUCGAAUUGUUGCAAUAACCAAUCCAAGUUCGCAGCUAAAGAUAACAAGACCCGAACUGUGUUGAUCUUGGCUACAGGUGCGAACGUCUCUGUGUAAUCGAUUCCAUAGGUUUGGGUGUAACCUUUCGCCACCAAUCUUGCUUUAAAGCAUUCAACUGUGCCAUCGGCUUUAUACUUCACAGUGUAAAUCCAUCGAUAUCCAAUUGGUUUCUUUCCUGGUGGAGGAUCAAUGAGUUCCCAAGUUUCAUUUUUCUGCAAGAAUUUCAUCUUCUUAUUCAUAAUUAUCUUCCACCUAUGGUCAGCUAAGGCUUCCUGCACACUGUUAGGAAUAGAUACAGUAUGGAAUUGAUUUACAAAUGACAAAUUUGAUUCUGACAAACGAUGGUCCGACACAUAAUUGCUCAUGAGAUACUUAACUUUAUUAGAAAGUUUGGGUAUGUGGGUUUAGGAAUACCUCUAGUGUGACGCGGUAAAUCAGGAACAUCCUCAACAGGCAAUUGGUCUGAUAUAUCAGUGCGAGGGACUCGAACUCGGACGAUGAUGGAGUUGGCGCCAUACUUUCCAUUUCUCGGCAUUCAUCACCACUAUGAUCCAAACUUAUACCACUUGAAUCCAAUUCGCCCGACUCCUGAUUGGUUGGUCCAACUUGUGAGUCAUCAACACUAGAAUCGCCGUCCUCAAAAGUGUGAUAAUCAAAAUCUAGAGUCUGAAUUUCAUUCUAGUACUCCCCCUGAAGUUCAGACUCAGAGGAAAAAUACAUCAAGUCUUUAUGGAAGACAACAUCCAUUAUGAUAAACAUUCGUCGAGUGGGAGGGUGAUAACAGUGAUACCCCUUUUGCUCGAGGAGUUAGCUUGUUGCGUUGAUGCUUAUGGAGGUGAACAAAUGCUACACAACCAAAGACAUGAGGAGGUAGAUUGGCGACGGUUGGGGCAACAAUUACGUCAGUGAGAGCCUACAAUGGUGUUCAGAAGGCAAUAGAGCUAGAAAGUACUCGAUUGAUGAGAUAUGCUACAGAGGUAAGUGUUUCUCCCCAAUACGAUAAUGGCAUAUGCACUUCUGUCAAUGAAGCAUGAACAACCUCCAACAAGGGUUGAUUUUUUCGCUCUGCAACCCCGUUCUGCUGGGGUGUAUUGGAACAAGUGGUUUGAUGAAUAGUUCCAUAUGCUUCCAAAUACUGCUGAAAGUCAAAACUCUAAUAUUUUCCAUCAUUAUCACUACGGAGAACCUGAACAUGUGCAUUGUAUUGAAUUUCAAUCAUUUUAUGAAACUUCUGAAACAAUAAGUUCACUUCACCUUUGGACUUUAUCAAGCACAACCUGGUCAUCUUGGUACAGUCAUUAAUAAAAGUAACAAACCAACGGGAUCCACCUAAAGUAGUGACUUUGGACGAACCCCACACAUUAGAAUAUAUAAUCAUAAAAGGAAGUGGACUUUUAUGCAAACAUAAUGGAUAUGAAACACGAUGGCUCUUUGCUAGUUCACAAACAUCACAGCGGAAACUAGAAACAUCACAUUUUUCAAACAAACUAGGAAAUAAUUUUUUCAGAUAACCAAAAGAAGCAUGCCCGAGACAUCGAUGCCACAACCAGAUUUUAGAUUUGUUUCUCUCCCCCUCAGAACCAUCCACUGUUAAGGCUUGUCGUAACUUGUCAGAACUUUUGGACAGCAAGUCCAAGUAAUACAGUUUCCCUCGCCGAAUACCACAACCAAUCGUCUGCUUUGUUUGGAUGUCCUUAAACACACAAAAAUCAGGCCAAAAAAUGACAACACAAGAUAAAGCUGUGGUUAUUUGGGAGACUGACAAAAGAUUAAAAUCUAAAAAGGGAACAACUAAAACAGAAUCUAAAUGCAGAUGAUCAGUGAGUGUCAAAGAUCCUUCCCUAAUAACUAGGGUCGAAGUCCUAUUGGCAGUAAAAACAAAUUUGUGUGAGGAUAAAAUAAAAGGUGAAACAUGUCUAGAAUCAAAUGUCAUAUGAUCUGUGGCACCAGAAUUAAUUAUCCAUGCACUAUUAGCAACAUGUGUAGAAAUAUUGAAAUUCUUACCACAAAUAUCUGUUGUCUUAACAACUGUUGUAGUGGAGGGCUUUGUUGAAUUCUUCUUCCAAUGGCGAAGAUCCCACUAUUUCAGAUAUCCCACAAGUUUGAAACAGCGACUUUUGGUAUGACCAGUCUAGUUGCAAUGAGUGCAUUUGGAGGUAGACUUGUGUGCUCUAGAUGAUUCAAUAUUUUUUUCACGCAUUUUUUUUUUUUUUUUUUCGGAACUGGUUUAUCACAGAACCAGUUUUCAAAUGAGGAUACAAAAAAUUGGUUUAGUUUUGAACUAAUCCAGAAUUGGAAUAGGAGUACACUUGUGGCCAAACGGUUUUGAAUUUUUUUUUUUUUUUCAACUUUUUUUUUUUUG